rnacentral:siRNA from 1 species
UUUUCUUUCUACUGCCUCUUCC